CAGAGAGUUUCAAAGAAAAGACCCAAGCUAUUCCACAGAGAAAUAUAUUCUAAGCUGACUGGAGAUCUCAACAGGCCAUUUGACUUACACAGCAGGUGUUAAAGGUCAUCUGUCAUAGAUCCCCUUUUGUGGUGCAAAGCACUCUCAGAUGAAAUGGCUCUGCUACAAGUGAAGGGUCUGUCCUCAGGGAAUAGUACAUAGACAAAAGAACUGAAUUAGCUUUCAAUUUGAAGCUAAAUAUUACAAAGGGAAACAUCUGGGCUACAAAGUAUAAGGAAACUCCAAGGAGAGGAAACAACAAAUACCCUGGAGGCAGAUUCUCUAUUCAGAAGCCUGAAUUGUGCUGCUUUGCUGCUAAAAUCCAUUCUUUUCAAAGUCUAUAUGCAGAAAUUGCAUGUGCAUGAAUAAAAACAGGCCAAGAUAAUAUAAUCCUCUAAUAAUGUCCCCUACCAGAGACAACCCACUUCUCAGUUCUGAGCGUGCUAACCACUUGGCAACACAACAGUAUACCUCUGUGAUGCCAGGCAAGUAUUAUGCGUGUUUAGAUUGAGGAAUUACAUUCCAAAGAAUAUUUAACCUCAAGGAAAAUCAAUACCAAACGAGUUUGUUCAGCUGUGUAUCUGCCACAGUAAUACUUCACCGUAUUGGCAACUGGGGACCAAUUAGUUUCCUGCAACUGGGUAUGUUUUGAUCUACUCAGAUUCUGGGGCACCACUUCUAUCCAAUACUGUGCUGUUGAAAAAAUGCUCUCUAACGCUGAUCCAUUUCUGCACAGCAGAACUGACCCUUUUUUUUUUUUUUUGGCGCAUUACCUUAUUCAGAAACUAAAGCUACAGUCAGGAAUUUGAAAUAGAGUAUGUGAUACAACA